CUGUGGCUGGCCGGGUGCGAUCCGAGGCUGUAGCAGGAGCCCUCGGCUGGGAGCGGGCGCGCUGGUCCCCCCCCGGCUUCCCUUUGUCCUGGAGGAGAAGGAGGCUGCACCGCGGACCCAGGUUUCCAGCGUUGGAUUGUCUUCUAGGGCAAAUUGUCACCAAUGGCAGUAAAACUUGUUUUCCAGCAUUCUGGUGUAUUUCAUGGGAGGGAUCAGCAUUCAUGUCACACUCCUCGUCAGUACCCGGCCUAAGUCACAGCAGCUAAUGAUCCAACCAGAGAACCAAAUUCAGUGAUGAAGCCUGGUCAAGUGCCACCUGAGGCAUGUUGUGCAUACGCUAAGAUGAUGUAUUUCACUGGAAUAGCAAACAUCAGAAACAAUGUUUUCUUAUAUUGAUAUAACCUAAAAAAAUGGCUCAAUUGACUGUUUUUUCCUUCAUACUUUAAGAGCCACUACUGAGACUGAGUUUCUUUGGUGUUAAAUUGAUGGCAAUGGUUGAUUAAUCUUUUACUUAUGUGUCAAUGAAGCAUAUUCUGUAUGAGGUGUUCAAAAUAUUGGUUUUUUUGUAAAUAUAAACACAUUAAUUCGUUGUUGCUUUCAAUAUCUAUGGAAAAACAUAAAUGUCCAUCUGUCACUGCUGAAUUCUGUCAGCUCACAUAUUAAACGUUCUUGGUUUAAUAUCUAGAUUUAAUUCCCGAAGGGAUUUACAAAAUCUACGC